UCCGAUUAACGCUGCACCCUUCGUAUUACCGCGGCUGCUGGCACGAAGUUAGCCGGUGCUUAUUCUGUUGGUAACGUCAAAACAGCAAGGUAUUAACUUACUGCCCUUCCUCCCAACUUAAAGUGCUUUACAAUCCGAAGACCUUCUUCACACACGCGGCAUGGCUGGAUCAGGCUUUCGCCCAUUGUCCAAUAUUCCCCACUGCUGCCUCCCGUAGGAGUCUGGACCGUGUCUCAGUUCCAGUGUGACUGAUCAUCCUCUCAGACCAGUUACGGAUCGUCGCCUUGGUAGGCCUUUACCCCACCAACUAGCUAAUCCGACCUAGGCUCAUCUGAUAGCGUGAGGUCCGAAGAUCCCCCACUUUCUCCCUCAGGACGUAUGCGGUAUUAGCGCCCGUUUCCGGACGUUAUCCCCCACUACCAGGCAGAUUCCUAGGCAUUACUCACCCGUCCGCCGCUGAAUCCAGGAGCAAGCUCCCUUCAUCCGCUCGACUUGCAUGUGUUAGGCCUGCCGCCAGCGUUCAAUCUGAGCCAGGAUCAAACCCUC
rnacentral:rRNA from 1 species